GGGCAUCUCAUUAGUUAAUACAUCCUGGUUCUUGGGCCUUUCAUUAGUUAAUACAUCCUGUUCUCGGGCCUACCAUUGGUUAAUACACCCUGGUUCUGGUUCCUUUCAUUAGUUAAUACAUCCUGGUUCUCGGGCAACUCAUUAGUUAAUACAUCCUGGUUCUCGGGCCUUUCAUUACUUAAUACAUCCUUGUUGGUCGGGCCUUUCAUUAGUUAAUACAUCCUGGUUGUCGUGCCUUUCAUUAGUUAAUAUAGAGCAUGAGACGCCAGGGAACCAGGAUGUAACCUGACUAACCUGAUUGUGUUUGUUUUUUAUUGUUGAAAACCGGACAGCCAAGUCUGUAUCCGGACUGGUGUCAUAUAUGCAUAUACAGGCAAACAAGGAUAAGUUGGACCGGAGCAGAGAACGCGUUUACGAGAAGUAGGCGGUGCACGGCAAUGAGCAAAUCCAUUUGGUUUCGGAAAGGUAGAGCAGAUGUAGGCUAGUGCACGUGCAGUACAUGACCAUGAAAUUGAUUAGACAGGCCACGCUCUUCACCCAUCGCACUACACUUGAUCGCGGACAACUGGGGGCCCUUCCCUAACAAUGGCAAGCGCCAUUGGGCGGCACUCAUAUAUAUGCUAAUACGCGUCAAUUGUCAGGUCAGUGCCCAACUUAUCCUUGUUUGCCAGUAUGUGCAUGUUUUUCUUUCAUUAAAAAUUGUCUUGGAAUUCUGAAUCAAGACACCAGUCUACAUAGUGAAUUGUAAAUGCGGACAUGUAUUGCAUGAUAUGUUUAAUUGUAGCCUAUCUAGUUGUAUUUAGAUGGUGAUAUUUAACGUGACGCCAACUGAGAAUCUAUGAUUGUGUAACCUGUUGUCACUGAUGAGAAACCUCUCAUGAGUCAUGAACAUUUAUCUUACUAAAUUUAUAGACAUUUUGUUUAAAAUAUCAGGUACCCACAAACUACUGUGUUUUGUGUCUGCUAUAAACCUUUUAGAAUUGUUUGAUUUGUUUCACAUGUGUAAAAUGACUAUCAUCAUGAUGUUCGGCUUCAUUUGUCAAUAAUUUCCAGCAACAAACAAAGGUAAUGAAAGUCUUCAAAGGGCAUGGUCAUCUAACGUCAACGAUGCUUUGCCCUUAAACGGGCAAAGCAUCGUUUAAACACAUUAACAUUGCGCAGAUCAAUGCUCAUGCUGGUGAUCACUCGAUUGUCUGGAUCUGACUCGAAUAUUUCCAGAUCGCCUCCUUAUAGCUGGAAAAUUAACAUUAGCAUUGCGUUGCCAUUUUUUAUGCGUGUGGUGAUAUCUUUUUAUGCUUCCAUGUUAGUUUUAAUACCAUUCGUAGUUGAUGUAAUCAUAGUCCUGUCCUUCUCAUGUUUUCUUUGCUUUAUGGCUUGUUGUAUUAGAUAUAGGUGUGUUUUUUUCUUGGUUAAGGCUUGUUGGUCUUGUUAUAGUGCUGAUUUAAUCUUAUAUUUUGAUUCAUUCAACUCUGUUCUCUCUAAAGUAUAUCAAUGCAUCUGUCAGUUAUCACGUAGCUUUUGGAAUGUGAAUAAACUUUCAACACCCCAUAAA
rnacentral:lncRNA from 1 species